rnacentral:rRNA from 1 species
AACGAACGCUGGCGGCAUGCCUAACACAUGCAAGUCGAACGAGACCUUCGGGUCUAGUGGCGCACGGGUGCGUAACGCGUGGGAACCUGCCCUUAGGUUCGGAAUAACUCCCCGAAAGGGGUGCUAAUACCGGAUAAUGUCUUCGGACCAAAGAUUUAUCGCCUUUGGAUGGGCCCGCGUUGGAUUAGCUAGUUGGUAGGGUAAAAGCCUACCAAGGCGACGAUCCAUAGCUGGUCUGAGAGGAUGAUCAGCCACACUGGGACUGAGACACGGCCCAGACCCCGCGGGGAGGCGGGAGGGGGGAAUAGGGAAGAGGGGGCAAAGGUCAGACCCAUCAAUGCGGGGGGAGUAAGGAGGGCGUGGGGGUUGAAAAUCUUUUUUACCGGGGAGAAUAGGGACGGACCGGGGAGAAAAAGCCCCGGCUAACCCCGC